UUAUCUUAGCAUCAUAUUCUACUUCUAAGAAGGAACAUGUGAAAUGAUGACAUUCCUAGUUAAAGUACUUUGGGUCUCUCUGCAGUGCGCUUAUCUGAUUUCUUAUCAGCAUUUAUUAUAAACAUUCUCAAACUCAGAGGCCCGUGGGUCUUCAUUCCAUCAGCCCUUCACACUAUGGUACAGAGCUGACCUCUGACAUGGCAAAGAUUUAAAAACAACAAUGUGUGGUGUAACCUCCUGAGUACCUGUGGAAAGGAUACUCUCUCUUGGGCAUCUAUAUUUCUUCUCUUUCAGGUGGUCUUCCUUGCCUCUGUCAGUAGAGAAAUGAAAGACAGAGGGCUGAAUCAGCCAGCCAAGUAGGAUGAAAACGGAUGAUGCAGGUUUUAUUUCACAUCGCUUCAGAAAAUGAGUUAAAAGUCAAAAGACAUGAAAGAAAAGAAACACAUAUUGGAGAAGUUUCAAGUGAAUUCUAAUAUGCAGCUUGAUGAGUAUUUAAUUCUAGAAAAAAGAAACUGCCUGUAGAGUGUAAGUGGGAAAUGCUUGCCUUUUCGUUGUGGCAGUGAUUUUUUCAUGCAUGUAUAUGAGUUUCCCUGAAUGGACUGGAAUGUAAUACCUACAAGGUUAAUUAGAUGUGCUGAAAUGUAACGUUCAGCACUCUUCAAAUGCAUAGUUAAUUCAGGUCUCACCCAGGCAUCUAUGCUAUCUUUUUAACCACAUUAUUUUCCAAGGUGUGGAAUUCAUUUAUAGGUAACAUCCUCUGAACUUUCUCAGUAAAAUAAGAGGGUAUUUGAAAUGCAUGGUCAGUCAACAUCUAACAUAAAAUCUUAAGCCUCAAGUUUUGAAAAGAACAACAUGGAUUAAUGAGGGUUGUUUCUUAUAGAGCUAAUACAAUUACUUGUCGAAAGACACAAAGAAGAGAAUUACUGUUAGUAUUCUGGUCAAAACUGUGUGAUCCAUCAUGAAAAUUGAAACUACUCUAGAGAAUGGACGGAUUUUAACUUAUUUGUGAUCUUAGUGAGGGGAACGAAGUCACGGAGAAGAUGCAUGGAUCAUAAAGCAAAAUCAAUGCACAUACCCAGUUAAAGAAAAGCAUUU
rnacentral:lncRNA from 1 species